rnacentral:rRNA from 1 species
AUUGAACGCUAGCGGGAUGCUUUACACAUGCAAGUCGAACGGCAGCGCGGACUUCGGUCUGGCGGCGAGUGGCGAACGGGUGAGUAAUGUAUCGGAACGUGCCCAGUAGCGGGGGAUAACUACGCGAAAGCGUAGCUAAUACCGCAUACGCCCUACGGGGGAAAGCAGGGGAUCGUCAGACCUUGCACUAUUGGAGCGGCCGAUAUCGGAUUAGCUAGUUGGUGAGGUAACGGCUCACCAAGGCGACGAUCCGUAGCUGGUUUGAGAGGACGACCAGCCACACUGGGACUGAGACACGGCCCAGACUCCUACGGGAGGCAGCAGUGGGGAAUUUUGGACAAUGGGGGCAACCCUGAUCCAGCCAUCCCGCGUGUGCGAUGAAGGCCUUCGGGUUGUAAAGCACUUUUGGCAGGAAAGAAACGUCGCGGGCUAAUACCCCGUGGAACUGACGGUACCUGCAGAAUAAGCACCGGCUAACUACGUG